rnacentral:rRNA from 1 species
AUACGAAGGGGGCAAGCGUUGUUCGGAUUUACUGGGCGUAAAGGGCGCGUAGGCGGAUAUUCAAGUCAGAGGUGAAAGCCCUGGGCUCAACCCGGGAAUUGCCUUUGAAACUGGAUGUCUUGAGUAUGGGAGAGGGUGGCGGAAUACCCAGUGUAGAGGUGAAAUUCGUAGAUAUUGGGUAGAACACCAGUGGCGAAGGCGGCCACCUGGCCCAUAACUGACGCUGAGGCGCGAAAGCGUGGGGAGC